rnacentral:tRNA from 1 species
GAUUUUAUAGUCAAUAUUAUGAUAUUAGACUGCAAUUCUAAAGUAGUUUUAAACUAAAGUCU